UUCCUUUCCUUUCAAGAGGCAUUAAUACUUAAGAGAGGUUUAUUCUGUUUGCAAAAUUUAAUUAAAAUUUCCUCCUUUCUCAAGAUACUAAAUCUAUGCUUGUUCUUGGAUUUUAAUAUUUCAAUUCAAAUCAAUAGUGGAGAAUGUAGGUAUUCACACAUUGGUCUAAAUGAUUUUCCUCUACUUUUCCAUCUUUCCAGCAGCUACUUGAACAUUAUCUUCGGGAUCCCCGAGUGUAAAAACAUGUUCUUCUAUCUCCUGCUCCCACAGUUGGCAAAUGAGUCUCUCAUGUUCAGAAAAUGUGGAAAUCAUUCCUAUAGAGUGCAGAAGCUAAACCUCGCCAUGGGAGAACACCUUCCUGAUCAAGCUGAAGAGAGUGACUUGUGCUGCUCUCUUUUGUAUUCCACUGUUACUGCCUGAGGAGGAAGCAACAUUGAAUGGAGGAAGCCCCAAGAGAAGAUUUGGGUAGACUGUAAACACUGUGGAGAAGUAAGUGUUUAGCUUUGCACUAGGUAAGCAGAAUUUCAGCAAGUCAGGAUCAGCAAAUUUGUGUGAUAUUCUAGUAUGCCACUUGCCUUCUGCAGCCACUCAUUAAUUUUCGGAAGCCUGACAGAAUGGCUAAAAGGAUGAUCAAUUUCAAGUGUCACUCCUGGAGUGUUUUUAGUCUUAUGUAAAAGGAGUUCUUGACAAGUAACCCUGUUAAUGCCCUCAAAAUGUCUCCUAUUAUUAAAUAUUGGGAAUAAGCUGAAAUAAUGAAACUAGCUUUUUUUUUCUUUCCUAAUUUUGGUCACCAGAGUGGUUGGUUUAGGAGAUUAUAAGAUUUGUCUAUUACUGAUCAUUAAGUGGGCUCACCAAACACUAGCAAAAUCUUGAGAGAAAUGAACACUUUUCAGGAGAACGACUUUUCUUUAAUGGAUUUGUUUGGAACAAAUGGGAUAUCUCUACUCAUUUUCCAAGUGAUUGCAUAAUAUUAUUACCUAGCAGAUAAAAUCCUCUCUCUCUCCCUCCUUCUCUCUAUCCAUUUUUAUUCUAAUAUGUUACUUUUAUCCAGGGUAGGCAACUGGUGUCCCUGGGGCCCCUGAGUUGCCCGAGGGAGUUGUGGGUGGGACUGGUUGUG
rnacentral:lncRNA from 1 species